CCUACGGGAGGCAGCAGUGGGGAAUUUUGGACAAUGGGCGCAAGCCUGAUCCAGCAAUGCCGCGUGCAGGAUGAAGGCCUUCGGGUUGUAAACUGCUUUUGUACGGAACGAAACGGUCUGCUCUAAUACAGUGGGCUAAUGACGGUACCGUAAGAAUAAGCACCGGCUAACUACGUGCCAGCAGCCGCGGUAAUACGUAGGGUGCGAGCGUUAAUCGGAAUUACUGGGCGUAAAGCGUGCGCAGGCGGUUAUAUAAGACAGAUGUGAAAUCCCCGGGCUCAACCUGGGACCUGCAUUUGUGACUGUAUAGCUAGAGUGCGGCAGAGGGGGAUGGAAUUCCGCGUGUAGCAGUGAAAUGCGUAGAUAUGCGGAGGAACACCGAUGGCGAAGGCAAUCCCCUGGGCCUGCACUGACGCUCAUGCACGAAAGCGUGGGGAGCAAACAGGAUUAGAUACCCUGGUAGUCCACGCCCUAAACGAUGUCAACUGGUUGUUGGGUCUUCACUGACUCAGUAACGAAGCUAACGCGUGAAGUUGACCGCCUGGGGAGUACGGCCGCAAGGUUGAAACGUCAAAUAAUUGACGG
rnacentral:rRNA from 1 species